rnacentral:rRNA from 1 species
UACGUAGGUGGCGAGCGUUGUCCGGAUUUACUGGGCGUAAAGGGAGCGUAGGCGGACUUUUAAGUGAGAUGUGAAAUACUCGGGCUCAACUUGAGUGCUGCAUUUCAAACUGGAAGUCUAGAGUGCAGGAGAGGAGAAUGGAAUUCCUAGUGUAGCGGUGAAAUGCGUAGAGAUUAGGAAGAACACCAGUGGCGAAGGCGAUUCUCUGGACUGUAACUGACGCUAAAGCUCGAAAGCGUGGGGAGCAAACAGG